AUACGUAGGGGGCGAGCGUUGUCCGGAUUUAUUGGGCGUAAAGGGUGCGUAGGCGGUCUUGUAAGUUAGAUGUGAAAUCUCACGGCUUAACCGUGGUAAGCAUUUGAAACUGCAGGGCUUGAGUACAGGAGAGGAGAGUGGAAUUCCUAGUGUAGCGGUGAAAUGCGUAGAUAUUAGGAGGAAUACCAGUGGCGAAGGCGGCUCUCUGGACUGUAACUGACGCUGAGGCACGAAAGCGUGGGGAGCAAACAGGAUUAGAUACCCUGGUAGUCCACGCUGUAAACGAUGAGUGCUAGGUGUCGGGGGUCAAACCUCGGUGCCGCAGUUAACACAUUAAGCACUCCGCCUGGGGAGUACGGUGGCAACACUGAA
rnacentral:rRNA from 1 species